UGUUCCUACGGGAGGCAGCAGUGGGGGAUAUUGGACAAUGGGGGGAACCCUGGUCCAGCGACGCCGCGUGAGUGAAGAAGUAUUUCGGUAUGUAAAGCUCUGUCAGCAGGGAAGAAAGAAAUGACGGUACCUGACCAAGAAGCCCCGGCUAACUACGUGCCAGCAGCCGCGGUAAUACGUAGGGGGCAAGCGUUAUCCGGAUUUACUGGGUGUAAAGGGAGCGUAGACGGCUGGCCAAGUCUGAAGUGAAAGCCCGGGGCUUAACCCCGGAACGGCUUUGGAAACUGGCCGGCUGGAGUGCUGGA
rnacentral:rRNA from 1 species